rnacentral:rRNA from 1 species
CCUACGGGAGGCAGCAGUGGGGAAUAUUGCACAAUGGGGGAAACCCUGAUGCAGCGACGCCGCGUGGGUGACGAAGUAUUUCGGUAUGUAAAGCCCUAUCAGCAGGGAAGAAGAUGACAGUACCUGACCAAGAAGCCCCGGCUAACUACGUGCCAGCAGCCGCGGUAAUACGUAGGGGGCAAGCGUUAUCCGGAUUUACUGGGUGUAACGGGAGCGUAGGUGGCAUGGCAAGCCAGAAGUGAAAACCCGGGGCUUAACCCCGCGGAUUGCUUUUGGAACUGUCAGGCUGGAGUGCAGGAGGGGCAGGCGGAAUUCCUGGUGUAGCGGUGAAAUGCGUAGAUAUCAGGAGGAACACCGGUGGCGAAGGCGGCCUGCUGGACUGUAACUGACACUGAGGCUCGAAAGCGUGGGGAGCAAACAGGAUUAGAUACCCUUGUAGUC